rnacentral:rRNA from 1 species
UUGACCUCGGAUCAGGUAGGAAUACCCGCUGAACUUAAGCAUAUCAAAAACCCGGAGGA